AUUUUUUAAAAUAAGAAAGGAAAACCUGCCUUCUUCCCACAGAUAGUUUUUUUGUGCAUGGGCAAAUUGCAAAUUUUAAAGCACUCUCUUGAGAUUAAAGUUAAUGGCAGACCCAGGGCUGUGGUAUUCUACCAAUUCUUUAUCAUUAUUUUCUCUUAUAAAAAUGGUUCUUCCUUUUUUUUUAAUGUACAAAUGUGUACUGGAAGGUUAUUGGUCCAGGUAGGCUAACCUUUAACUUAGAUGUGAAAAUUUCUUGGUCCUGUCCUUGUAUGAAAGCUUGACUCAAUUUUAUCUGAGUAACCUAAACUGAAUAAAUAGAAACUUGAAAUUUACUUGUUCUCCUUUUCAGUUGUGCAUCAAAAUUUUGAAGUCAUGGUGAGCAUGAACUACAGGUUUACAAGAAAUUUGCAGCAUUAAAACUGGGACUAUAACUACUUCAAAUGACUUUACUAUGAGCUGCACAGACGUGAGCUCGGGCCGCCUGUGAAGAAGAAAACAUUCCAGGAACAAAACCGAAGGUCCUCAGCUGCUUAAAAGAACUGCCGACUAGCAUGCGUGUUGAUCACUUUGCAGAUCGUGGUGAAACGUAAAUGCGAUGCUGUAAAGUAUUUACAUUUGGAACUUAAUAAAUGCUCCUUACUAUCUUGAAUUCCACUUAUUUGUGGUUGGAAAGUAGACUGCGGAGGUCAAACCAAUUAUUUGCGACAUCCAUCAAAGUAUCAGAACUACUAUUUUUGAGAGAGAAUAUCCUGAACUGAGCAUUUUAUUACAACUACUCAAGCAUUUGAAGAUAUCUUUCUUUGCGAACAUAGAUAACUUGUUUAAAACUUCAGAUCAGUCUGCUGUACCGGUAUCGCAGAGGUCAUAGAGUGAAAUCCCGUACAGGCCUGAAUUUUUUUCUUCAGGCCUUAUUUUCACUACUGCUCAAGUAGUGUUCAUUACUGCGAAGAUCGCUUCCAUAUUUUAGCGGCCAUUUUGGUCAUGCCUCUCUCUGGUGUGUCUUAUUAAAGGGGAAUGAUAACUUCCCUCAGAUGCUUUUUCUUUCAUAGCUGUCUAAACUUUCAUUUGGUGGGUGUAUCACCGAUUACAAUGAUUUGUACAGCAUUAAUCCGGUAGCAUUUCAUCGCUGAGACAUGAGGAAUGAGUUAUUGGGAUAUCUUUAAUAUGGUUUGGAUAUAGCAUUUUACAAGUGUCUAUUACUCCGGUCAAAGUAAUAAACUAACAAAAACGUAUGUUUACAUAGCUAUAAAGCAAAAUAUAUUGUUGAAGC